UUGGAUUUUACGAAACCAGACCGCUUUUAAUCGUGUGAAUAAGCAAAGUAGAAGCUCCUAACUUAACGUUUUCUAUACGUGAGAUCUAAACCUCUCCAAUCAAUUCACUUUUGAUUGUAGUAGGGGACUUUCUCUCCUUAUCUUUUCUUCUACAUUCUUCUUUUUUUUUUUUUUUUUUUUUUCUUUCUAAAUUUAAUCCUUCACUGUGUUGAUAUGGAUGCGGAAAUGGAGGAACUUUGGAAGAAGUUUAAUCUUUCUAUAAGAUGGAUAUCAAAAGUUGAGGCAUCAGAAGAGCUUUGUAUAGAAAGUGGUUUUGCACUAUACAAACAACUGAAAGGGAGCAGAGGAAUCAUGGGAGGAUUGCCUAAAAUUGCUCAAGUGGAUGAACCCAAUUCUUCAAAUUUUCAGGAAAGGGCCCAUGCUACUAGUACCACUGCUCUCAUAUGCAAAAGCAAUUGAAUCAUCGAAAAAGUCCCAAUGUUGUACUUUUGCUUGUUUAAAAACUCUUGGGCUCUGAAAUUGUGCAAAUGGUCAACAACUGGGUGGAAAAGGUGGAAACUACUCCAACAAUGCUCAAUUAUCCUUGAGAUUGGAAUUUAGUUUUGAAGGAUCAGACAAUUCACUAUUUCUAAAGGUGUGAGAGAAGGUUGGAAUUCUAAACCAGCUAGAGUUGGUUUUUCCUCAAAAAAGCUUCAGUUUUUGGCAACUGCUACUUGGGGUGUUCUACCACUACCUAAUGGAGCAUCAGGUUUUUAAUUAAAAUCAGAAUAUUACAUAGGUGUGAUAAGGAAUUCCCCUUAUUUGAUGAAGGAUUCAUAGGCCCUAGAUUAUGCAAACCAUGUUCUAUUCAAUACAGAAAAUUGGAUUUUGAAGAAUUUUGUGUGGCUGCCAUAAGUUUGCAUCAGCUAGAAGGAAUGGAGAGCUGGGAACAACAUGCAAGGCAUGCUUAUGAGCUGUUUGAGAUGGAUGUCUACAAGCUAAUUAUUUUUGAAGGAACUUGCCUUUGUAUUCUCAUCAGUUUCAAAUGGCAAAUUUUGAUUCAAUUGUUUAGGCACGCAUUCACUAUUAACUAAUAAUGGUUCUAUGGUUCUACAUUCCUCAUGGCAUAUCAUGAUGACUUGGUUGAUAUAAUAGUUUUUGGAAAUUCUUUUGCUAGGAUUUUGGGUUAGUCUCCAAUUGAGAUAGUUGGAAGUACUUUUAGUUUUCCUGUCUUCAAGUAAUAUGAACAAAAACAAAGGAUCUUUUGUGAUGUCACUAUGUUAGUAUAAUACGCGAAUUGUGAUAACUGUGUCAUACCCACUAAUCGCAAGAUGGUAAAGUUGGCUUGUUGCACUGAUUUUUUUUUUUUUUUGGGGGCAAAUUUGUGUCUUUAAAAAAAAGUCCCUUUGUGUAUCAUGAGUCUCCAGCUAGUUAAGCAUAGUCCGAAAUCUGCCAUAGAAAUGGUAUUUUAAUCAGAAAUUAAUUGUUAAAGUACACAACUCUCUCCUGUAUUGUUGAAGUGUUAACCAUAUAGUGUAAAUAUUUCCAUUCCCUUAAGCAUUUUUUUUUUUUUUUUCAUUUGCUUUUUAAUGUCUGAACUCUAAAGAUAAAUCUUCAACAAUAGGUAAGCAUUUAAACAUAAAUUAUUUUCAAAUUAUUGGUAUCUGCAUUUGAAUUCAUAGUAUCUGGUCAGUCACACACUCGAAAUACAAAUUCAACAUAGACCCAUCAAAAGAAGGGUUUGUCUUCUUUAAAUCUAUCCUGCACUGUCACACUUCAACAAUCCCAUACAUUGACAAACUCCAUCUGCCUAUACUAAUUUAUGCAGAACUUCAACUUCUCAAUUCUAUUAUAUUCCCUAAAUGGAAAAAAGCCUCCUGUCAUCUCUGUCAACUGCCCUCCUUAAAUUUCUAAUCAUCAUUGCACAUAAUGUAUCUCAAAAUCAACUUGGUAAAGUGAUAUACUUGGUAUGUUUAUUGAUUUAGGUACUUAAACAGUUCGGAAAGUCUCACUUGCUGAUAUUGGAGUAACCCUAUGUUGUGAGAUCAUUUAAAAAGUAAUCAGGUAGAAACAGGUUGGGGCUGCUCUAAUCCUUGAGAUUUGAAUUGAUUUUUGAAGGAUCAAACAGUCCAGGAUUUUGAAAGAAAUGAGACAAGGUCAGAAUUCUAAAUCAGACAAGAGCGAUGUUUCUUCAGGAAAAAAAAAAAAUCUGAUUUUGUUUAUUACAAGAAAUAUUCAAUUUGCAUGCAAGAAUAUGCUACGAAUGGAACAAGUUUCAUCAUCUACCAGUACCUUUUUGAGGAUAUCUAAAAAGGUUUUUUUUUUUUUUUUUUUUGAGAAUGAAAAAAGAAAAAGCUUUUUAGAAAUUUCUAAAAGCUUAGUGGUUAAUUUUUCUAAGAUGUUUAUCAGUUUUUUUUUUUUUUUUUUUUUUUUGGAGAAUCUGUUUGAAGAUUUGAUUUUGAUAUAUAAAUUGAUACAUAUUAUGUGCAGUUAUUUAUUUCCUUGAAACUAUGGUAAGUACCUUUCCUAG